UAUGGAGAAUAAACCAAUAAAAGCCUAUGAACCUUGUCAGAUCCGGAAGGAAGCAGCAAUAAGUAGAUACUUUUGUGUGGAAUUAUUCUCCAUAGAG
rnacentral:SRP_RNA from 1 species